CCUACGGGUGGCAGCAGUGAGGAAUAUUGGUCAAUGGGCGCGAGCCUGAACCAGCCAAGUAGCGUGAAGGAUGACUGCCCUACGGGUUGUAAACUUUUUUUAUAAAGGAAUAAAGUGUAGCACGUGUGCCUUUUUGUAUGUACUUUAUGAAUAAGGGUCGGCUAACGCCGUGCCAGCAGCCGCGGUAAUACGGAGGAUCCGAGCGUUAUCCGGAUUUGUUGGGUUUAAAGGGAGCGUCGAUGGGUUGUUAAGUCAGUUGUGAAAGUUUGCGGCUCAACCGUAAAAUUGCAAUUGAUACUGGCAGGCUUGAGUACAGUUGAGGUGGGCAGAAUUCGUGGUGUAGCGGUGAAAUGCUUAGAUAUCACGAAGAAUUCCGAUUGCGAAGGCAGCUUACUAAACUGCGACUGACAUUGAUGCUCGAAAGUGUGGGUAUCAAACAGGAUUAGAUACCCUUGUAGUC
rnacentral:rRNA from 1 species